UCACCCAUCAUGACCAGCACCCAGGAAGAUUCCCACACACAUGGUAAAUCCACCAGGCACAUCCCAUACCUGCAUGUCUGUAGAUGCCACUAGAUGAGAGUGCUGCUGUUUUUUUCCCACAGGUGAUCCACACAGGUGACACUUGCAAAGGUUUGCAGGUGCAAAACCCUUAUUUCAGGUGACCCUCCCAAAAUCAUAACCCCACCCUCUUGUCUCUGGGCUAGCUCAGUUAAGCUGUGAUCCCUGCUGGUGUUUUCAAGGUGCAGGCAGCUUCAAUGGGGAAUGCAGAAAGAGGCAGCAGAGCUAAGGACAGAUGUUAGACCUGCCCCAGGAACGCUGCAGCAACAGCCCCGCUCCGCCUGCACACCCACGAGCAGCAGGAUGCAUUUUGCCUGCACAUCUGCCCCAGCACGCCUGGGCAUGAGACAACGGGAUCAGGAUGUGUGCAGAUGCUAAUAACGCAGAAGAGCUUCACUGGAAAUAAUUAGCCCUUGUUAGGAGAAAAUCUAAGGGAAAUUUUUGACAAAAAGGCGGGUGAUUCAUUGCAGACUGGAAAGAAAUGGAUGUUCCUGACCUGCCUGACAUUUGGGAUGCCACCUAAUGCUUAUCCUUAAUUCAUAGCCCCACUGUAGAAGUGUCUGCUUUCAGUGCAUGAACAUCACCUGGUCUCUGCAGACCUGAGUGUUAGUUGUGUUUUAUUCAAAAAGGGGUUAAUUUGUGCCCACUUCUCCCCAAAGUGCAGUAGCAUAAUCUCAAAAGAGCUGCUUGGCUUUCUCCUCCCUUCUCCAGCCGUCACUUCUUGGCUCUUAAUAAAUUAUUCAGCUUUCCUAAAUAUGCAUAGGGGUCUCAUUAACAACUAAUUUUGCUUAUUUAAAACAACUGCAUAAUCAAACCACUAUAGUGUUUCUCCUUUCUUAUAGCCAUGAAUUAUUCAUGUUCUGGAAAUCUGCAUACAAAUUUAUUGAUUCUUAAAAGGGCACAUUUUUCACAGCCUGGAAAAAAAAAAAAAAAAAGAAACCCUGGUUAUUCUGGUAUUGAACAUUUUGGCCCAAACUCCCGUUUAACAAAUCAUACGGUGUUUUCCUGGGAACAGACGGCAGGCGAACCCAUAAUGUCACCAAAUGCACCUGGAAUUCCUGAGUGCAGCAAGAGGGAGUAUUUCCAACAUUGCAAUUAAUCAUUGGCACAGUCUUGACUUGCAGCCCUUUCUUGGGGUGCUAAUGGCUUGUUGCUGCAGCAUCCAUCCCACACGGGCUUCUUGGUGCCUUCAGGUGCUCCCAUCUGAGCCACAAAGAACAUCUGAGCAAGGAAGGGACAUUUUGGGAAGGCAUGAAAAGCCUCCAGCGUCACUGGAUCCAGUUUGGGCUCAUCCCACAAACAAAGCACUGGAGAUAAAAACAUGCACAGAUUCAACAAGAAGGUUCAUUUUAUUUGUCCCUAGAGAAUUCAUCAGGGUUCGGUGGUUGUUUUUCUGUUUGCUUAGUAAGGUACGAGGUUGCUGUGUUUGAAUUUGUCUUAUUCUUUCAUGAGUAAAAAACCACUCGCCACAGGAGGAUUAUGAAGCUGUAAAUGUUUUUUAUAACACAGCAGAGCCCUGAGACAAGAUGUCCCUUUCUUCCUUUCCUUGUCCAUCUGCAUCACUGGCUGGACGGCUCUUUAUCUGUUCAUCUGCUUGGCUGCAGCUUCUCGGGCUGUCUCUCAGGAGCAACCAGCACGUGGAGCAGCCUGAGUCUGACUUGAGCCAAAUCGCAGCCCCUACCUGUCCUCUGAUGGCCUGGAGUUUUCACACAGGACUUGUUCAGUGAGGACCCAGUGGGUGACAGACACAGACAAGGCAGAAUGAGCUGGACGGGAAGAUGCACUUUGCACAAAGCGUGCGGUGGGAUGCGGGAUGGCUGUUGACUACCUUCACCCCACAUGUUUCGAGGUGUUGGCGUGCUGACCCAUCCUUGAACGAGGGGAUGGAUCUGCUCCUCGCUGGCACUGUGGAGCUGCCAGCACAUCGUGUCACAGCGAGGUCACCUCGGAGCUGGCAGGACUAUGCUGCUGUGAGUCACUGGUGGCUCUGCCACGUACCACUUGGAGCAGGUAAUUGUCCUCGGGGUGAUCUCCAGAGACCAGGGCACAGGGGAAAUAGCAGGUACUUUCAGGCUGUUCUGGAUAUCUUCUCAAUGACCCACGUUGGACUCACUAACUUCAGGGACUCCCUAGAAAAACUUAGAGCUUUUUUUCCUCUUCAAGUUCAGGCUUCUGUCCCAGUUUCUGUGUCUUCAGUCUGUGUCUAGUCCUCCGUUACAGCCUUUUGAACUUUAUGAGAGCUAAGUGCAUCCCGUGAUUGCGGUGUAGAACUGGUAACCAGGAUGCCUGGGUCCUGCAGAGGGUGGAGAAGGUGCCGUCCUCGACUUGUUGGGUGAGGAUGAGCCAGUCAGCUUCCUCUUGCAGACCUUGUUUUCCCAGAUGGAGAUGGUUCUAUUUACCCACAUCCAUAAAUACAGUUUUACAGCCUGGGUUAAUGCUGGUUUCCGGGUGACUGCACUAAAGUCUCAUCCAGUCCUUAGCCCCCAUUCAGAGAUUCCCUUUUCUCCAGUAUUUCACAGGUCAACUGCAAAGCAGCACAGGUGCAUCAAGAAGCUGGCACAGGUGGUAUCAAAGCAUAGCCCCUUCCUGCUGCCGCUCUUCAGAGCGUGUUCCCCUGCGUCAGACCCCUCAGACAGCACCCCAGAGGAGGAGAUCGCUUGGCUUGAUCACUGGAUGCCUUUUACCCAUCACAGCUGCACCUCCUGGCUCACGUUGCAGAUCUGCUCUUCAGAGGUAGGUGGCUGACCUGCUCUUGACACCUCACACUCAUUCCCCACCUACCCACGGCUUGGUAGGAGCAGAUGAAAUCCGGAGAUGUCGUCGGCAGCCACCGCUGCCCUCCGUGCCCACCCAGGGAAACAGGGAGCGGCAGGGAACGUCUGGAUUCCAUAAGAAGCUGAGAUACUCAUAUAGGCAGCAUUAAUUACAACUCUUAGCAUUUAAUUAUAGGUUCCCUUGGUUUCCACUGUAUAUUUACAGCUGAAAAACCUUGCUAAUUGCCCGUGUUGCCAUAGCUCAGACUUGAACUCACGCUCUAGAGAUGGUAGAACCACUCUGCCUGUUCCAGACCAGCUCGUGACCUUAACAAUCUACCACCUAUUUAUGGGCACCUAGAGAGAGCCGAGAGGAGGGGCUGGGUGUUCCCCACCAACCUCACCCCCUGCUUACAACAGCUUGUCCAAAAAAUGGCCUCAAGCAGUUCAGAACAAGAAUCUCCUUGAGAUCAGCAGAGGAACAGAGUUGUAAAGCUGAGCCUUCAGGACCGGUAAUCCAUGAUGAAGCUGGGACCUCCAGGGACACAGGACACCGCUCCAGCGGAGCUCCUUCUAAAUAGGCUGCAAAAAAGAUCUGAUAUUAUGCAAAAAUAUGCAGAUGGGAUCUGAUUCCUCUGAGUCACACCUCGUGUGCUUCACCCGCUGCCCACAAUUUCACAGGGAUGCGCACGGUCAUGGUGCCACAGGGACGGCACAGGGAAUUAUGUUGUAAAACUGCGUCACGUUGUGCAAUGUCCCACCUCCGUCCCGUUGCGGCAGCUCCCUGCUCGCUCCCCGCUCGCUGUGGUGUGGUGCUGUGCUCCCUCGGAGCAGCGUGGCUCCAGGCCUGGGGCAGCCAUGGCAGGGCACAGCGAGAAGGAGCAUCCUUGUUUCUGCACUAAGCCCUGCACUCUUCCAGGAAGCCAGACCUGCAGAGCUGGGCCUGAAUUAGGACUUCAAACACUCCUCUGAUGUCUAUUAUCUCUGCUGCGCAGGAGGCAACUGCUUCCUCCAGCUGAAUUAGGGGUUGUGUGACCCAGGAACAAGAGCCCACAGCAUGUUUUGUAAGAGCACCCAUUUUCCCCUGAAGAUCUUUCCCCGGCGCUUGCUAAAGGGACAGGUCCAACUAGACAGGAGGCACCUGGUUGUUCCCAGAACCAGGCGUGAUCUGGGCAAAUGUGCCCUGUCCUGCCCUCCCCAAACACAGACGGGAAAAGUGCCUCGCAGGAGCCGCUCCCUGCCUGGCCUGGGACGUGCCCAUGGGGUGAGUGUGCAGGAGCUCACUCCAAGAUGGUGAGUAGCAAUGAGCUGAGCCCAACCUUGGAAGGCCGGGAACAGCCGCUCUCUUACCCGGCUUCCCAGGGCAGCUCUGCCAGGCUCCAGCCUAUGUAUGCCCUUUCCCCCUCGGCAGUGGGCAUCACUGAAAUCACCUGGACAUGCUUCCUGCAGUCUUUUCCCAUGGAUUAUGCCAGCCCUGACUGCACAAGGCUUGGAAGCCUCCUUUUGUCUUAUCACAUCUAACACACAAGCACCAAUUGGCUCAGUACGCCUGCUGAGGUCCGGUAGAGAGCUACUCAGGCACGUGCAGCAAAGAUGCAAACAAUAAUCAAACUGUAUAUUUGUAUAUCUCUUGGGGACUGUGUCCUAAGGCAGUUGAAGGGGAGGGUGGCUGCCACCUGAGCAUGGCACACUGACCUAGGAAAGCUUGCUUGGAAACCCUGGGCUUUCCUGUCUGUGUUGGUCACCUGGCAGCACUGAGAAGGGAAGGGUGUCUGAUGCCACCACUGGUUUUAUGAGCUCUUCAAAAUAAGCAAGUGCACUGUCUCACUGAAGAAAGAAGCUGAUGCACAAUCACCACUUGGGAAUCCGCCUCUCCUCUGGCACUGUCCUGUCCAGGCCAGUCUACGGCAGGCUCCAAGUCAGAUGGCCACAGCAGGCCAUUGCUUAACCCAUCCGCUGUUCCCAGAGGACGGAACUUUUGCGUUUUGGCUUAAUGUCACAGCAGGAUCAUCCAGGGAGUCAUUCAGCCCUGGGCCACAUCUGUCCAAGCAGACAGCUGGUGUCCAGUCCCUGGGGCAGUGCACAGCCAUGCACUGCAAGACAGGGAGCACACACACCUGGAGCACAGCGCAUGGACCAUCCUGAAACACCAGACACCCAUUUGGCCCGUGGACAGACGGAUCUGCCCUUUGCAGGCAUCAUCCAUUGGUUCCUCCGCAGCUUGGAGACAAACUCCCUGUAAGACAACAACUGUGAAAAGGCAUCUCAGUCCUAAUGACUUGGGUGGAGAAAAGAUAAGGAAGAAAGUAUCAUUUCCAUCUUGCAAACUGGGCACCGACGGGAGUCCCAGACCCUGCGGCACCUGCCCAGUGACUCCGCUGGGUACCACAGCUCUCCCUGCCCCACCAGAGACCUGUGCGUGGGAUCAGGCUGCGGGGUCUUUGCUGCAGAAAAGCCAGCCUGAAAACUUGUCACCAGAGCGGAUGACAAAGCGCACAGGCACACAUGCCUCCCUCCACGGAGAACACGCCAGGGCACCUCCGCAUGCUGCCUGAUCCAGCAAAGCAUAUCUCACGGGUCAGCAACUGUGGUGGGAUUUGCACAGGACUGGGGAGGAAGCAGAGGAACCAGAGUAGCUGUGCCACACCAGCUCCUGCCGGGGUGCCCGUGGAGCCCGUCUUGGACCACUGUGGGAUGCCAGCCAGGAGCCACUUUGCAGUGUAACCAUCCGAGGGAUGGAGUUUUCUGCCACACCUGCCCAGGCUCCCACCCAGCUCCCAAGGGCUUCCUCUUUCUUCUGCCCUCCACGCUCCCAGUAACGCAGACGCUACGCCCUGCAGCCUGGGGUGGCUGGGAACAGCCAGCUCUCCCCUGUCACAGCAUCUCCUCCCAGCCGCGAGCCCUCGUGCACCAGCUUUAAGCUACUUCCUUGUGGCUCAGCCUAUUCACAUUCAGCGUGGCCAUGGAUUUCACACAGCUUGUUAACUAGCGUCACACAUGGGGUGUUGCUUCGUAUUCAAAAUUCCAGGAUGAUUGCUAAGCGAGUUGCAUCCAGCUCCCAUCAGAACCAAGACGAGGACCCCUCUGGCCUUGGGAGGACCCACUGUCUAUAUACAAGCUGAUUUUUUAGCUCAGCCAGCCCCAAAGGUUUUCAUUCCCAUUUAGGGGAAUUACCACAUUUGCCUGUGUUUGUUACAAGCAUCAGAAUGAAACUCUUCAAAUUCCACCCUAAUGGGAUCCUGCCCCUAAGGGACUGAAAGUUUUUCUUCACAGCAGUCUCUGUCUGAGCCGUGAGUACUUGGAGCAUUUCCCAGUGUUUACCUGGAGCUGCGAAUAGCUGCCAUUCCAUUGAACUGUGUGAAGUUAGAGCCCUUAUUUGAGAUUUCACCAGAGCAGAACCCAGGAGCUGGUCCCCUCUGGGUGGGCUGUGCCCCCCAUGUCCCCACAGCCACCCAACCUGCCCAGCCUGCAGCACAAGGGGGACAGAGACCUUUGCUCCGUGUCCUGCUCCUCUUAUUAGUACACGAGUUAACUUUAAUACAGAGAAGAGCCCCUAUGAAAGUGGCUGUCCAGAGGCAGGUAGCAUUUCUCCCCAUUGCUCAUGUCAAUGAAAUGGCACAAGUUUCCAACCUCUGAUACAGAAGACAUUCUCUGAAAUCUCAGGAAGACACUACCCUUCAGGAAUAUUAACUCAGGAAUGAUGGACCAUGCUGCCUAUUGCUCUCCCUGAGAAAUUUCCUCUGCAACAGCUGUCACUCCUCCAGUCAUUCCAAGCUGUGUCACCCCUUCUUAUUCUCAAUUAACACAAAGCCACUGCGCUGUCACCAGGAAAGCUCAUCUCUUGGAAUGGCCAUUGCAAUUUAAACAUAACUUUAGCCCUGACUUUCCCGUUUGCUGUGGUUGUUUGUGCAUAAUUAACCUCUGAAAAUAUUCUGUCAUCAACUUGCUAAUCUGGACACCACAUCUGAGCAGAUGUUUCUGGCUGCUCUCCAGCCAGAGGGCUUCACGUACUCCUCGUUUGCGUUUGGUCUGGCCUGCGCUGCUCCUUGCAGGUGGGAUCAGUCUGUGAGCAGGUGAAGUUCUCUGUCAUUUUCAGCGGGUGAAGUUUUCGGUCGUUUUGCAGCAGAGGAGGUUUUCAGUGGUUUUUAGCAGGUGAGGUUUCUAGGCUGUACCAGAGCUGUGCUGAGCGCAGUCAAGGAGCUCUGGCAUUGUUGAUGAGCCGGAAAAAAGUCACGAUGCUGAUUAUAGUCUGUCAGCUUCCCUAACCACUUCCAGCAAUUAGAUUUAAGGACUUUCUUACUAAAUUUACAGAAAUUGCUUCCUUCCCUCCUGUUCCUCGGAGCAGAAUCGGCAGAGCCUGAUCCCAGAUCUGCCCACUUGCACUGUCGGGACAAACAGUUCCUGAUGCAUCCCGGUCAGACUGUGCCGCCCAGGCAGACACCAGCACCGAGCUUCCCCGGGACCCUGACCUUUACCAAUAACCCAAGCAAGAGAUAGCAAAGAGAUUUACCUUCGAGCCAGGUGCAUGUCACUUGGCAGGUGAAGCAACGUCAGCUCACAGGCAGGGGAAGCUGGGCUCGGGUCAGGAACCGGGUGGAUUGCUGCUAUCAGCUCCCCGGGGAUUUGUGGACUAAUUGCUUCCCCUUUCCCCUCAGCCCCACGCACACAGUUCUCUAGCAAUUCAAACUCCUCUGAUCUGACAAGGACCCACCCUUCCCCAGCCCCUGCGACACGGUUCCUUCCCUCGCACCAGGGACUGACCUGAGUGUGCAAACAGCCGCCACGCGGGGCUGAUGUGGCCAAACACAGAGCUGUUUUUGCAGGGUUACUUAUCAGUCUGAUCAACUCCCCGAGUUAAGUCAGCCAGCACUGGCACGGGGGCAAGCAGGAACACGCCACCGAGGGCGUGAGCCCUGGCAGGGUCACACGAACCUCGCUUAGAUCAGUUCCUGCCAUGUGAAAUGGAUGCAUGGAAGAGAAGAUGUCCGUAAGGGACAGUUCACCCCGUCUCUGCCUGCACUCUGUGUUCCUUCACUGCGUCCUUGGCAUAACACAAACUGUACCUUUCCAUGGCAGAACAUGUGUUGUUUUCCUCUUGCAAAGUCCCAGGAAGCCCCGUGUCACCAGGCAAGAAGCAGAAUCUGUACCAGAAUCCUCAUCUCCCAGAAGGUCCAUUCCCAGGAGACAGAUCAGCAGACAUCCUGCAGAGCAGUGCGAUCCACAGCAUGUCCUUUGCAGACCAGACUCAGAGGGUGAAGAAACAGAGAUUCUGGAAACAUUUACAAGUCACAGGGAUGCUGCAAAUCCACCCAGAGCCCGAGUGGAUAAACACGGGCCUGCCCAGGUGAGGGCUUCCCGGAGCACUUGGGCCGGAGAGCGUGGAACAGAUUUUUCUCUAUCUGCACUAGUUUCCCAAGUUGACUGGUCCUAAGAAAUGCAGUAUUUAUAAUUUAGAAACAUUCUGUCAACACUCAUCAAUUUUGUUAGAUUUCCCAUUUUAAAAACCUGUCAAUGUCCUUCUCCCUGCCCAUCCCUGGUGCCACCUCUGGUUUUUAACUGGAAACGCGGUGCUACCACUUUCAGCCAAACAACAAUAUGAAGUCGCCCAUAUAAUCAACUUGCAUUAAGGAUGAUUUCAAACAUAAUUAUUAAAAAUCAUCAGAAAAACUACGCUGGUGUGCUCUGCCAUCUAUGCUCGAAUCUGGAAAGGUCAAGUUUCUGUCCAUCUCCACCCAAGACCCUUUUCCAAAGUGACAGCUGAGAUUCAGCUUGGCGUCUCCUGUGGAUGGAGCUUCCUCGGGGACCAGAAGUUGCUGCCAGCAGAUCUCCCCAUGGAUGGCGAGGCAAGCAGUGAUUUCCCACCUUUGUGGACAUGCCCAGAGCAACCAGCCUCUUGGAGGAGCUGAACGGCUGCAUCCUUCCAAGGUUGGUCCUUGUCAUGAAGACACGGCAGCCCCGAGGUGACCCGUUUGUGGCUUGCUGUGCUGAAUCUGUGUCAAGAAGGGCUGCUGCUACCUGAAAAUAACGGCAUGGAUUUCGCCAUUUUUCUAGUGUUGCUCCUCAAAGCUGAGCCCACAGGGGCUGCCAAUAAAUACACUAUACACCUGUCUUUAGCAUGCUGCCCCUCUCUCCAUGCAUAUACACAUAAACAUGUGUUGCCUGAAAACUCCUGCUUGGCUUUGGGAGCUGCAGAAAGGAAGCCCUGGAGCACAGGGAGCAGGUUUCCAGGCUGGCAGUGCGCUGAGAUGAUCGGCCUUUGCCUGUAAACCAUUAUCUCUCCAUCCUUUCUGGGAAAGACCCAAGUUGAGGCUGCAUCUUGAAGAUAACUGUGAACAUGGGAAUAUUUACACAGGUCUCUCUCCUGGAGUCAGGCCAAGCUGCCUGUGGUUUGUGGCCUACAAUAACAAACGUUACAGUAGAAGAUAGUAUUUGUUUAACUGCUUGUUCUGUCAAUACCGUAGCUUGCAAAAGCCCAGAGAUUGCACAGUCAGAGCUGACAACAUUUUGGAAAUCGUCUGUUCUUGCACCAAGAGUAAGGGCUGUUUUUCUGUAGGUGGGACUCUGCCAGGCUUCGCUUCUCUCUGGAGACUGGGCAUGGGGAUGCGCCUGCUUUUGAAGACUUUUUGAAGACUCUCCUGCCUGCCUCGGUUGUCCCUUCUCCAGGACAAACCAUCCAGCACCUCCAUCUACCAGCACCUCUGCUGGUGAUUUCCCACCUCCAAACACUCUCCAGUUUCUCCACGUCUUUCCUGAAGUGGUGAGGCUUCAGAAGAACCCUCCCCUAGGGCUUCUCCAUUCACAGCCGUCAGUUGGAUCUGCUCCACUGUGCCAGGACCACACUUAGCCAGACUUCACCAUGCCCGCUGUGUGGUUUCAGCACGCAGCACCGGCUCAGCUUCCCAUCAGACACAGGUCCAUACCCAGCUUUCCAGGUCUCAGGUUUCCUUCUGGGGUGGCUUGAGUUAGUUGUGAACCAGAAGCGAAGUGUUGAGCUGGGAAAGCUGCCGCUUUCAUUGCCUCUCAGAAUAGCAGCUCUUUUUUUCUAAGCCUUAUUUAUAAACUCCUGCUCUUCGGUGGUGUUUGGUUUUUUUUAUGUCAAAGAUAGCGAGUUCAGGAAAUCAGCAGUGGUUUCUGUUAUCUGGAGCACAACCACGCGAGAGAGGGAAGAGGGUGUCACACUCUAGGAGCCUGUUCAUGGAAACUUGUAUCUCAUUGCUUCGCCUCUUGAGAGUCGGAUAUUUAUAACCCCUCGCAUCUCCUCUUCCUGCUCCUUGCUGUCACCAGCUUCAAAACUUGCUCAUACUUUUAACCCCACAAAAGUAGCCAGUGGGGGAGGCCACCUCUCCUUCCUUCCCCCAUUUCCAUGUGUAAUUCUUUGCUCACAGACCAAGCACUAUGUUUGCAUCGCUUCAGGUCAUCUCCAGUGGCCUUUCCCACCCACCGUACCUGGAGCCUGGAGCACAAUGCAGAGCAAGGAACUGAAAAUGCCUUUCGACAGCACACAGCGUGGCCGUGGCAAACAGGAGGACGGUUUCUCUCCCCGCCUGGCACUCCACUGCUUUCACCAGCUUGUCCCUUACACAACAGAUGCCUUCAGCAAGCAGCGUUCCCAAAAAGGGCAAUUGCGUUUUAACCCUGACAAUGGCAGCAGCAACACAAGCUGUUUUCCUAACAUCACAUGUGCCAAUAGCUACUAUGGAUUUCAGUGGAUACUGGCCAGGAAGACACAUUUUCAAGCAGCACAUGUUUUCACGUUAGUCCCAAUAAAUUGAUAACUCACUUAAACAUCCAGACCAUUUUCUUCACGUAGAAAGGAAACCGGUCCACAUGAAAACCAGGCUGUGCGAUGCCAAUGAGGUGACAACAAUGCGAUUUGUUUUCAGGAAUACUGAGCUGAUGAAUAACAAAAAAAGGAACCUGACAAACAGGUCUUGGACGACCUGGAUCCCAAGAAGCUCUUCCUGCACAAAACUUUCAGUUGCCCUGAAUCACCCAUCCCAUUCCUGCCCUGGCCACACGAGCUGGGGCGCCGGGCACCCAGCGCACCCACAAGCUCACACCUUCCUGGGGCUCCACUGCAGUCCCUGCUCAACACUCAGACGGGUAAGAAAGUGUAAAAGCACUUGGGCACCUUAACAGAGUCACGGGAGUGAGAGGGGCAGGAGUGCGGCUGGAGGAGCACGGUCAUAGCCAUGAGGGUCUGGAAAUGCAAGGGAGAACAUCGUUGCUACAUCGACCCAGGGAAAACAGCCACUGCCAUUUGAAAAGAAGCUUGCAUAACACCAAGGAAAGAGAAGGCAGAUAAACAGCAACAGCCGCUUCUGAUGAUAAUGCAAGAAACACCACACUACAGCCCCCCGAAGACUCAGCACCACAUCCCUGACUACCCCACACCUCCAAAUGCAAGUCAGUUGCAUGAGGCAAGUUCAGCAGACCAGAGAAACCGCCACCAGCUAAUCUGCCUCAAGACAGCAGCAACAUGGGUGCAAAGAGAUAAGAAGAAAUAACCUAAAACCUCUCUGACUUCAUGCUGUGCUGUGCAGGAGCAAGGAGGACACAGUCAUUUGCAGGGGAAAGCCCCACUGCUCUCCAUGGCUACUGAUCCCCCCUCUAUGCACCAGGUCCUGACAGAGGGACACAGCAUCACAUUGGGACCCAAGAAAAGGCAGCCUUGACCCCAAACCCCACAGGGACAUCCAAGGAGGCACGUGGCUGUGCCAGGCUCUCCUCCCUGAUACCUUUCCCAAGGCAGAGAACAAGACGCUGGAGCAGAGCAGGGAGCAGAGCAGGAGCGGCCAGCACAAGGGUGCACGGCAUGCCCAGGGGAAAGCAAACAGGAGAAAGCAAUUGGGGAUCCUUGACUCAACAGGCUCAUCACCAGUGAAGCCACAGCACGGCUCUGUCCAUCGCUGCUGCAAAUCCAGCCUGAGGGAAAUCGUAGUGACCAGGACAUCCCAAGAGGCCACGUGGGCAGAAACACAUGCCCAGACAGCAACGUGAGCUGGGCCUUGGGCAAAGCGGCUUCUUGACAUGAAGCAGCCCUAGGGGUUGGUGGCGUGAGAGGGCACUUGGCUUGUCUUGAGCAGCGAAAAGGACACACUGGGGUAUCUGGGGAGGACAGUCAUGGCACUGAAGGGACCGCACAAGAACAGGGCCCCGUGACAUUGCACACAGACCAUCGCUUUGACACCAGAGCUGAUUUGGUGCCAGCUCACGGUCCAGGGACCACAGACACCAGCCGAUAUGGAAACCUGGAAAACUCCAAAGUGGAAAGGAAGGAUAGAAUUGGGAAACACCAACAGAGCAGUAGCCAGGCUGGCACAGAACAGGGAGCAGAGCAGAAACAACCAGCAUCAGGGAUGCACGGCAGGACCAGGGGAAAGCAAACAGGAGAAAGCAAUUGAGGAAGCUCGUGUCUCAUUCGUGUGCAUCUCAGCCAAAGUCCAAAGCAGGAGGUGCUUGCAAAGGACACUGGAAAAAAUCCAGUGAUGUUAUCUGCCCUCACAGAACAAGAUUAGCCCAGAGGAAAAAAAAAUAAGAAGUUGUUUACAAGCUGAGCAAAGCAGCUCCGUGUUGGGAGCACACCAGUGCCUGGGUGAGCUGCUGGCCUGGCUACCUCUGCCGCUUGGGAAGAUGCACCAAACCCCACCAUGCCCUGCUCUGGUCUCGGUCACCUUUGCAGCGUUUCGCAGCCCUGGCAGGUGAGACCCUGCUGAAGGGCACACGCUCCCGCACCAUGUGCGUGCAUGCAGGUAGUGGUGUGUCCCACAGAGCGUGUGCAGGGAGUUUGCACGCUGGACACUUGCAUGUUUGGCAGCCCCUGCAGAGCAGUGGGUGGGUUGUAAACUGAAGUGUACGCUGAGAGUCACUUGGUCAGGGGAAAUUCCUAAAAUAAAUCCUCUACCUGCUCCCCUUCCAUCGAUAUAUCUUACAUCCUACAAAGCUCUUCGUAACAGUGUUCUUUCCCCCUGCCUCCCUGCCACCCAAGAUUCUCUGACUCUUGCAAAAAAAGAGAUUUGGACUGCAGAUCAGCAACUGAAAUUAGCAAGAACCAGUUCUGACACAUACAAAACAUUGCAAGGUAAGUGUUCAUGUCUCUGUUUACAAAAAGCUCUCACCUGUGCCACUUCUCAUCCCUGGGGUCUUUAGGGACAUGAUUUUACCCCUGUAAUUGUGCAGUCAAUGCAUGAUGAUCAGGGAUCAAGUAUGAGGAGGGAAUAUCUUGCAUAAACAAAUCACAGGUAACACAGACUACCUGUGGGUUGGGCUGCAAGCCCCGCUGAGAGGGGAACGGAAAGGUCUGCAAUGUGCCGGUGACCCGGCCUCUGACCUGAUGCCCACCCGCGGGGAUGGCUUGACCUGGGACACAGACACACUGGGACACAGAUCCCCAGCUUGCCGAGCCAAACUGGUGCCACUGGAGCCACAACGUGAUUUAUAAUGAUUCCCAGUCUGGGUAAUCCACCCUUGCCAACACGGGGCUGAUGACACCGGUACAGCCAGCCUGGGGAAGUCCCACGUCAGGAAGCUGUGAAUGACACACUCCUGGAGGUGGCUUGUGUUGUGACUUAAGGCAGGGCUGACCAACUGACAGCCCCAGGGCUGGAUCCGAUACACAGGCGGUUUAUCUGCUUUCCCAGAAAGGCCAGUCUGUCCGGGGGCUGAUGACAGAUGGCAGCGCAUGGGGAGGUGGAGAGACUGCAAACCUGGGGUUGGAUCGAGUCAUACACAGCGUAUGUAAAUACAGCUGCAGCGGUUUGGGUCCUUAAUACUUGAGACCUCAGCAUGACGAGGAACCACUGCUUGUUCUGGGCCAAAACGAGGAAUGUUGCCAGGACUAGUCAGCCUUUGCCAGCUCUGCUCCCCCGGCCACUGGCUGGGCAGUGUGAAAUGCAGCAGAUAAACCCACACUGGUCCCUGUAAAAUAAAAUGUUAGUGGUUUGAGAACAGGAAGCCCUCAAGACACAGAACACGGGCGGAUGGCACACAACGUGGCAAACACGGAGGCUGUGGAUCUGUGGACCCAUCUCACCACCGCAAUGCCUCCCAUCGCCUCGCACGCUUCCUUCUGCAGGUUCCUCUCAAAACACCCCAGGUUAUGGUGGUGAAACGUCUAGGGGACAACAUAAGCUGGAUCAGGUGAUCCCAGCCAACACAGCUCCAUUUCUGGCCAAAUUGUUUUCAAACUGGAUGAGAUGCUGAUCUAGCUUACCCUUCCCAAAGCAGAAGGGACAUAACCAGUGCAGAGGCAGAGGAGACUUUCACACUUGUGUUCAGCAAGCGUGCUCUCUCACCUGCCAAUUUGUUUUCAAAAUAGUGGGUCAUUUACCAUCCUGGGGGUCUUGUGUAACACACAUGGCUGUGGAGAGCCCCUGUUACUCCUGUCCAAGAAUUCCUGCCCCGUGUGAGCUACACACCACACCUCUCCUCCGACUGCUAGAGGCUCGUACAGCUGGAUGCGUCUGCAAAGACAAGGGCAGACACUCCCUUCGUAUUUG